CCAGCUGCCGGUGGUGGGCAGCAGCAGGUGUGGACGCUCGUUAGUAAGAUUUCUUUAUUAUGCUGUGAUUGCCUGUGCUCGCAGCUCCAUGCCACUCCGUGUAGUCACACUGAAGCGGGUGUCGGUUCAGGUGUGAAGCCGGUGUGUGUGUGUGUGGCUCCCUGUCGAGAUGUCUUCGGCCGAGCAGGACGGGAGUCAGUUCAAUAAGUUUGAGAAACUGUCGUGGAGGCCCUCCAUCCGCGACUCAGGUUCCAAGAAGCGGGCACGGUGGCUUCAGGCUCGACGCAUCUUCUCCCCUUCUUGCCCCAACCUUCGGAUCCCCAACAGGUUUCUGAGAGAAGUGGCACAGUCAGUAGGGGCUUGGACUGUGA